rnacentral:rRNA from 1 species
UGGGGAAUAUUGCACAAUGGGCGCAAGCCUGAUGCAGCCAUGCCGCGUGUGUGAAGAAGGCCUUUGGGUUGUAAAGCACUUUCAGCGAGGAGGAAGGUGGUGAGCUUAAUACGCUCAUCAAUUGACGUUACUCGCAGAAGAAGCACCGGCUAACUCCGUGCCAGCAGCCGCGGUAAUACGGAGGGUGCAAGCGUUAAUCGGAAUUACUGGGCGUAAAGCGCACGCAGGCGGUUUGUUAAGUCAGAUGUGAAAUCCCCGGGCUCAACCUGGGAACUGCAUUUGAAACUGGCAAGCUAGAGCCUCGUAGAGGGGGGUAGAAUUCCAGGUGUAGCGGUGAAAUGCGUAGAGAUCUGGAGGAAUACCGGUGGCGAAGGCGGCCCCCUGGACGAAGACUGACGCUCAGGUGCGAAAGCGUGGGGCAGCAAACAGGAUUAGAUACCCUGGUAGUCCACGCUGUAAAACGAUGUCGAUUUGGAGGUUGUGCCCUUGAGGCGUGGCUUCCGGAGCUAACGCGUUAAAUCGACCGCCUGGGGAGUACGGCCGCAAGGUUAAAACUUAAAUGAAUUGAC